AACCGCGGUUAUACGAAAGGCUUAAGUAGAUGGAUGACGGCGUAAAGAGUGGUUAGGGUAUUUUAUCACUAAAGUUAAACCCCCUCUUGGCAGUUUCAAGCCUACGAGGAGGAGAGAAACACCUACGAAAGUGACUUUACCUUCCUGAUUCCACGAAAGCUAGGAAA
rnacentral:rRNA from 1 species